rnacentral:rRNA from 1 species
CGUUGUCCGGAAUUAUUGGGCGUAAAGCGCGCGCAGGCGGUUUCUUAAGUCUGAUGUGAAAGCCCCCGGCUCAACCGGGGAGGGUCAUUGGAAACUGGGGAACUUGAGUGCAGAAGAGGAGAGUGGAAUUCCACGUGUAGCGGUGAAAUGCGUAGAGAUGUGGAGGAACACCAGUGGCGAAGGCGACUCUCUGGUCUGUAACUGACGCUGAGGCGCGAAAGCGUGGGGAGCGAACAGGAUUAGAUACCCUGGUAGUCCACGCCGUAAACGAUGAGUGCUAAGUGUUAGAGGGUUUCCGCCCUUUAGUGCUGCAGCAAACGCAUUAAGCACUCCGCCUGGGGAGU